rnacentral:rRNA from 1 species
AGUGAACGCUGGCGGUAGGCCUAACACAUGCAAGUCGAACGGCAGCACAGUAAGAGCUUGCUCUUACGGGUGGCGAGUGGCGGACGGGUGAGGAACACAUCGGAAUCUACUUUUUCGUGGGGGAUAACGUAGGGAAACUUACGCUAAUACCGCAUACGACCUACGGGUGAAAGCAGGGGAUCUUCGGACCUUGCGCGAUUGAAUGAGCCGAUGUCGGAUUAGCUAGUUGGCGGGGUAAAGGCCCACCAAGGCGACGAUCCGUAGCUGGUCUGAGAGGAUGAUCGGCCACAUGGGACCGGAGACACGGUCCAGACCCCUACGGGAGGCAGCAGUGGGGAAUAUUGGACAAUGGGCGCAAGCCUGAUCCAGCCAUACCGCGUGGGUGAAGAAGGCCUUCGGGUUGUAAAGCCCUUUUGUUGGGAAAGAAAAGCAGAGGUUAAUACCCCGCUGUUCUGACGGUACCCAAAGAAUAAGCACCGGCUAACUUCGUG